rnacentral:sRNA from 1 species
AUCGGUAAAUGAGGGGCCAGUGGCUGGCAGCCUGAUGUCACUUCCAGGAAGUGGCAAUUAACAUCAUUUUCUGCUCCAUCCCUCUCCCAUAGAUGGACAUCAGAGGUCCAUCAUACUCCUAGGGCCUGGGGAGAUCUCAUGUUUCAGAAUUCCCUGGUUUCUGAAGCCUUUGAGGAGAGGGAAUUGUGUGCAUAAGACUCAGCUUUCUUUUUCCCUGAUGUAACUUUCAUUUUUUUUUUCUGUCUUUCACCAACAGAUUCUACCACCUGUAGUUCAGCCAAGUCCAAGGGUUCGUGGGCCCCCAAGAAGGAGCCUUACGCCCGGGAGAUGCUGGCGAUCUCCUUUAUCUCGGCCGUCAACCGCAAGCGCAAGAAGCGGCGGGAGGCGCGAGGGCUGGGCAGCAGCACCGACGACGACUCGGAGCAGGAGGCGCACAAGCCUGGGGCGGGGGCCACAGCGCCGG